GAAAUUCCAGACCGACCUGGAGAGAGAAAAGUGACAUUUUCACACGCCUGUGACAAAAAUUAGCCAAAACCUUCAACUAUAGAGUGAAAAUUCAUUCAAAGAUAUUUCCAACCAUAGGUCGCACGUCCCAAAUGGAGAUCGGGAAGGCCUCCUAAAGCCCCCCGAAAACAGUGCCCUCCUGGCAGGCCAAGAAAGUCCGAAAUUUUUCUAAGUGAUGAGCCUGAUUGUUCAUGAGUGAGGGAAAGCGAGUGCUAUUGAGAAACCUGAGAGACAAUUGAGGAAAGCCAUGAAUUACAAGCCAAACUAUAAUACAUAUAGUUUUGGUUGAUUUGAACUUGGCCAACAAGGAAGGUUUGGAAAUCUAAUUUUGGAAGUCAACGAAAACCUUCGUUGUCACCUUUUCUUCUGCAGAUCUCACUUUCAGCUCGAAGGAACCAGUUUUUACGUGCUUCCAGAGGACGAUUUCGUGGUUUCCUUGGCCAAGAGUCACUUGAAAAAGGAACUAGGAAGCAAGGUAAGAAUCCUAGAUGUAUCUUUGUUCGAUUUUGAACAUGUCUUGAUCAUGAAAAUCGAGAAGGAAACUAGCCCGAAGAACUGAUUUCUAAAGCUAAAUUUUUUCUAAGUGUUUAAGACCUCUUCAAUGCCCCUACAUGUUUGACUUGUUACUCCACUUUGCAUGCCUUUUUUUGUCGUUGUGACUUCAAUGGAUGUUACAUGGGAAUACUAAUGAUGCAUAGGACAACCCGGUUUAGUCUUUAAAUCUCCUUGUGAACCAUGAAACCAUCUAUAACAUGAGCCAAAAACCAUAUUGAGACAUGGUUGGCCAGCAUAGAUCAUGCACGGAUGCUUCUUGGAGAGUUCAUUUUGAUGCGUUCGGUUGAUCAUUUUCGGUGAUAUUUGUUGCAUUUGAAAGUAAGUAUUACGUAUUUUCAUCUAGAUUGAGUAAUAUUUCAUAUAGAUAUGGCAUGUGAUGGUUGUCGGAGCUUCAAUCUGAGCAUUUGGCAUGGCUGUUUGACUUGGGUUCAUCACCAGUUUUGCAAAACAGCCCCAACCCGCAUGUUGGAGGCCGUUUUCAGUUCGGUUUUUGCAUGUUCUAGGCUGUAAUUUCUAGUCAAACACGUUCUUUGCAUGUAGUAGUAUAUCCUUGAUACUUUGCAUUCACAUGAGAUUGCUUAUGGAUCGAGAUUGAAGGCCACGAACAUGACCCGAAGAAGCCGUUUUGGGGUGAUUUGAUGCAAACCAAGUAUUCGAUAAAAUGUUGAAACCAAGCUCCAAUCUCGAAGCGGUCGAUUUGAGCUUAAUCGUUGUGAUAUUCAUGUGAUUUGUUAUUCCAUGUUAGCAUAGAUCGG
rnacentral:lncRNA from 1 species